GACGAACGCUGGCGGCGUGCCUAACACAUGCAAGUCGAACGUGAUUGGAAGCUUGCUUCCAUGAAAGUGGCGCACGGGUGAGUAACGCGUAGAUAAUCUACCUGAUGGAUCGGGAUAACACUUCGAAAGGGGUGCUAAUACCGGAUAAGCCCACGGAGUCCUUGGACACUGCGGGAAAAGGGGGGGAUCUUCGGACCUUCCGUCAUCAGAUGAGUCUGCGUACCAUUAGCUAGUUGGUAGGGUAAAGGCCUACCAAGGCGACGAUGGUUAGCUGGUCUGAGAGGAUGAUCAGCCACACUGGAACUGAGACACGGUCCAGACUCCUACGGGAGGCAGCAGUGGGGAAUUUUGCGCAAUGGGGGAACCCUGACGCAGCAACGCCGCGUGAGCGAUGAAGGCCCUUGGGUCGUAAAGCUCUGACAGAGGGAAAGAAAUGCGGGGAGGCUAAUAUCCUUUCUGCUUGACGGUACCCUCAAAGGAAGCACCGGCUAACUCCGUGCCAGCAGCCGCAGUAA
rnacentral:rRNA from 1 species